rnacentral:rRNA from 1 species
AGAAGCAAUACCGCGAGGUGGAGCAAAACUCAAAAAAUGAUCUCAGUUCGGACUGUAGGCUGCAACUCGCCUACACGAAGUUGGAAUUGCUAGUAAUCGUGGAUCAGCAUGCCACGGUGAAUACGUUCCCGGGUCUUGUACACACCGCCCGUCACACCAUGGGAGCUGGUAACACCCGAAGUCAGUAGUCUAACCGCAAGGAGGACGCUGCCGAAGGUGGGAUUAGCGACUGGGGUGAAGUCGUAACAAGGUAAC